AAUUGGAAUCUCCCCUAAAGAAGAAUGGCCUAGAUUAAAUGAGAAAAUGAGAAAAGAGGACUAAAGAAGGAAAAUUUCAGCCUAGCCAAUGUGGCAAAACCCUGUCUCUACAAAAAGUGCAAAAAUUAGCUGGGCAUGGUGGUGUGUACCUGUAGUCUCAGGUACUCAGGAGGCUGAGGCAGGAGGAUCACUUUGACCCAGUCUCAUUUAAAAACAACAACAAAAACAAAAAGGAAAGACAGAAAAUUAGGAAUACUAGCAUUGAAAGAAAAUGCAGGAGAAAUGGAGAAGUAGGACUGGAAACACAGAAGAACUGUUUCCAGCUAGAGGGUAGUGUCAAGCAUCCCUCAGGAUUGUGGAAGCUCAGGACUCAAACUCAUCUGUGAUUGGCAAUUAUGAAGUCUUUGACUCUGACACCACCCAUUUCAGUGAAUUAAUUGCAGUCCAGUGCAGGGACUGAUGGCUGGGAACAGGAGUUCAGAGAGGUUAGAGGCAAGAAUCAGAGGGAGGAAGUGAAGACAUCAACUGUGAACUACUUUCUUGAGAAGUUAGAACACAGAAAUAAUAGGGCAGUAGUUUGGUAACUUUUGGGAGAAGUGGUGUAAAGGUAGUUGUUACUACUUUGAAAAUGGGAUUGAUUUGAACAUAAACCAAAGGUAAAAAGCUGGUGAGUGAGACAGAGGAGGGAUGCUCAUUUCUGUCAUAUGCAAAAUGUUCUGCAAAUCAGCUAGCCUUGGCUGUGACCCCCGGGAAGCCAGAUGGGAUGCCAUCCCCCUUACUUCAGAAUUGUGGCCUUUCUCUUCUGUUCUUUAGAACUAUACUGGAAGAAACCAAUUCACCUCAAAUACCAAGGAAAUGGGUGUGAUGUAGGAGGCAGAAGAGUAGCCUUUUCCGUGCUGCCGGCAGAAUGGAGACAGACCUGGGCUUGCACCCACCGCCCAGACCCAGGAGUGGAUGGUUCAACGUGUACUGUAAGGCUAAAGAAGGUUGGCCAGGCAUGGUGGCUCAUGCAUGUAAUCCCAACACUUUGGGAAGCCAAAGCAGGCGGACCGCUCGAGCGCAGGAGUUUGAGACCAGCCUGGGCGACAUGGCGAAACUCCAUCUCUACAAAAAUUACAGAAAAGCUGGGUGUGUUGGCACGCACCUGUAGUCCCAGCUGCUCUGGAGGUUGA
rnacentral:lncRNA from 1 species